UACAGAGGGUGCGAGCGUUAAUCGGAAUUACUGGGCGUAAAGCGCACGUAGGUGGCGACGUAAGUCGGGUGUGAAAGCCCCGGGCUCAACCUGGGAAUUGCAUUCGAGACUGCAUUGCUGGAGUACGGAAGAGGAAGGCGGAAUUCCCGGUGUAGCGGUGAAAUGCGUAGAUAUCAGGAGGAACACCGGUGGCGAAGGCGGGUCUCUGGGCCGAUACUGACGCUGAGGAGCGAAAGCGUGGGGAGCGAACAGG
rnacentral:rRNA from 1 species